UACGGAGGGUGCAAGCGUUAAUCGGAAUUACUGGGCGUAAAGCGUGCGUAGGCGGCUUGAUAAGCCGGUUGUGAAAGCCACAGGCUCAACCUGGGGACGGCAUCCGGAACUGUCAAGCUAGAGUGCAGGAGAGGAAGGUAGAAUUCCCGGUGUAGCGGUGAAAUGCGUAGAGAUCGGGAGGAAUACCAGUGGCGAAGGCGGCCUUCUGGACUGACACUGACACUGAGGUGCGAAAGCGUGGGGAGCAAACAGG
rnacentral:misc_RNA from 1 species